rnacentral:lncRNA from 1 species
CUAAAUAGCAAUUGUUCUGCAAGCUAAAGAAUUCUAAAAGCCUGUUCUGUGUCAAUAGCAACUGGUUACAGAAUUCUGAAUAAAAUAGUGACAUUUCUAUUACAUCCUGAACAGCAAGUAGGAAACCCAGUCUCUUUCUCUGACCACUCUGCGCAUGAAACAAGAAAAGAAAGCUGGACAAUCAUUUAAGCCCUCCAAUGGGCAGGCAGACCUUUGGAAGAAGUGGUGUGAUGAACAUAAAGCUCUCCAUAAUCGCCUAGACGUCGUAGAAGAGGUACCAGCAGCUGUGGGCUGGGGAGGGACAAGAUGGAGGGAUGAUGGGGAGGUGAUGGGGAUGGUGAGAGCAGAGGUGGAACAGUUAGAGAAAGAGCUCAUUUGAGCCUCGUAUGUGUCCAGCUCUGGGCCAAGUGCUGAGAAAAACAAGAAAACAGGUUCAUGGCCAUGUCUCCCCCAGUAGAGGAAACCAGACUAAUGGGAAGUGAUGAGAAAACAAUAUAUGACAAGAGGGAAUCAAGUCCUAAAUUGUAUACCAGCCUGCCUUGGGGUAUCAGAAAAAACAAGGGUCACUGUAGACUAGAAGGAGCAGCAAAAGUUUCCUGUAGGAAGUGGGCUUUGAAAGAUCAGUAGCAUUGGGGUAGACCAAGAAGAUCAAGGGGGACAUUCUAGGUAAGAGGACCAAUGCUAGCACCUCCAUUGGAGACCUUUCUCAGGAGUGGAAGAGAGGUUCAGUAUAGACCACCUGGUAACUUUAGAAGGUCCUAGAAACCAAAGUUUAUAGGAAUACAGGCUGAUAACAGGACCUUAAAGGCCAUCUAAUCCAACAUCCUCAUUUUAUACAUGAAAAAUCAGAGAACUAGAGAGAUGGAACAAUUUUGUCCAAAGUAUUAUGGGUAGUAAGUGACUGUGCUGGGAUUUGAAUUCAGAUCCUCUGUCUCCAGUAUUCUUUCCACAGUGUCCUGCUUGUUGCUUCUUGGUAGUUGUACUUUUCAUCUUUAUGUCCCUGGUACUAACACAGUGCCAAGCAUAUAAUAGGUA